UCCAACAGCCAUAUCACCCUGCAACUCACCACCAGCUAACCACUGAAGCUAAGCAGGUGUGAGUUUGUCCAGUACCUGGAAGAGAGACCUCCUGGGGAAAAACUAAGGUUGCUGCUA
rnacentral:rRNA from 1 species